UAGUAAUAACAAAAAAACACGUUACUAACAUUUAAUCAUCAACUGGAGUACAUCAACCUUUCUACUUCCUCCUCUAUCUUAAGUACUUUCUAGGAACAAGACUGAAUUUUUCUAAGUACACUCAUAAUAAACAAAAGAGUAAUGAUUCACUGUCUUGACAGUGAUAAAAUUAUAUACUAUUCUACAUCAUGCAAUUUGUCUAAAUCAUGCAAUUUGUCUUUCCUGUCCUUCCCUUGCACAGGAUGAGACUUAGAGAUGGAAAGAAAGAAAAUAAGAAAAAAAAUCUACUUCAAUACUGUUCCAUAAUGAUAACCAAAAUAGAUAGGCAGAUAGAUAGAUAGGCAGAUAGAUAGAUAGGCAGAUAGAUAGAUAGAUAGGCAGAUAAAUAGAUAGAUAGAGAAAUAGCUUGAUAAGCAGAUAGGGAGCGAGGGAGAGUUAUGAUAAAAUAUCUUCAAACAUUUAGCAAAAGUACAGAAAUUCAUUAUAUGAUAAAAUAUCAUCAAACAUUUAGCAAAAGUACAGAAAUUCAUUAUAUAACCAUACGAAAUCAUACAAUACUGCAUCUCUUUUUUUUCAUCACUCCCAGGCACGACACUCCAGUUGCACGCUAGAAGUAAACUCUCUAUGCAAAUUCAAAAUACUGUUCAGUAAAUCAAUAUCUAUGAAUGGCUAUUUCAACAUCUUGCAAAAAUCUAUAAUGUUUCCUCCUGCUACUUACUCCUGUAUUAUGUCUACAAGAACUUAAAAAUACUGGUUUAUAAAAAUGCUGAGUGCUUCAAGAUUUACAAAGCACCAGAAAGGGGGAGAGAAUGUGUAUAGUAACUAUGGGCUUGUGUUUCAUCUGCUUCAGGCUUUCGGAUGCACAGCAACUGGCGUGAAGGAAAAAUAUAUCAAUGCUGCGCUGUGUGGACGAUGAAAACAAGAUCAGAAGUUUCAUUAUAACUCUGGACUCUGUGUUUUCUCUGCUUUGGGCCUUCAAGAACACACAAACAGGCUCAUGGAAAAGGAAUAUUAAGUUUGUGUUAUUUUAAAUUCAUCUAUAGGCCUUUGAUCACACACAAACAGGCUCAUGGAAAAGGAAUAUUAAGUUUGUUUUAUUUUAAAUUCAUCUAUAGGCCUUUGAUCACACACACUCACAGUAUCAUGGAAAGGGUUUAAUAUAAAGUCUGUCAUUUCAAACUCAACACUAGACCUUCAAGUAGACACCCAUGAAGAGGCUCAUGGAAAGGGGAUAUGAAGUUUGUCAUUUCAAACAAGUAAAUCUCAAGCCUUUGUUCAGUAUUGACAAAUAAAAACAAAAACAGAAGCAUAAUACAAACACAUUCGACUUCAUAACAGAAUAGAAAAUAAAUACAUGUGUGCUUAUAGACAGUUUCAUGGCAGCGUAGAAAAUUUGAAAUACACAAAUCUCUACAUUGUUAAUAAUACUUGGUUCUUGAGAAAGGUGUAUAAAUGGGUGUAUAGAAUAGACAUCUUUAUAGCAGAAUAGAAAGUAGCAAUACACAAGCCACAAUAUUUCCUUUGAUAAUACUUUCAAUGUCUGGCUAUUAAGGAAGGUAUAAAUGUGGGCACAGGAUAGACAUUUUUAGUGUAGAACAGAAAAUAAAAAUACGCAAGCCUCAACAUUUCCUUCAGUAAUACUUUAAACAUUUGGCUCUGGAGUGAAUUGUGUAAAUAUGCAUAGAAUAAACAUUUCCAUGACUACCAAAAUAAAAAUACUCAAGCCCCAACACUUUUCAUAAUACUUUAAACAUUUGGUUCUCAAGGAAAGUGUGUAAAUGUGCAUAGAAUAAACAUUUCCAUGACUACCAAAACGGAAAAUAAAAAUACUCAAGCCCCAACACUUUUCAUAAUACUUUAGACAUUUGGUUCUCAAGGAAAGUGUGUAAAUGUGCAUAGAAUAAACAUUUUCAUUAUUACCAGAAUAGAAAUAGAAAUACUAAACUAGCCUCAACAGUUUUCAUAAUACUUUAAACAUUUGGUUCUUAGGGAAGGUGUGUAAAUGUGUGCAUAGAACAUAAACAUUUGGUUCUUAGGGAAGGUGUGUAAAUGUGUGCAUAGAACAGACGUCAUCAUUACCAACCUAGCAAAUAGAAAAUAUAUAACAUUUAUUUCAACAAUGCUUCAAACAUCUGAGUCUUGGGGAAAGUAUAUAAAGGUGUGCACAAAAUAAACAUUUCUAUCAUCACCAAAAUGUAUAAUAAAGCACAAACUUCACCACAAACAUUUCUUCAAAACAACACUUUAAACAUCCAGUUCUUUGGGAAAAUCUAUGAAUAUGUGUGGCCACAGAAUAAACACUUCCAUUACUAUCACCAAAAUGAAAUACAAAACACACUUCCCGAACAUCUUUUUCACAAUAUACUUUAAACAUCUUACUCAUGAGGAGGGUAAAUAGAUCAGUGUAAAUGGAGAACCAGGAAUGGGAGACUAAGUACAUAUAUAUAUCAAAUGCCUUGGACAACGCAGUGCUAACCCUCACACCGCCUACUGAGAGCCAGCUGGACACACUGAAGUACGUGAUGUGUCUGGACUUGUCUUCUGCCUUUGGUUAUGGGUUGGAAAGCGUUACAGGAGGAAGUGUGUUAGGAAUGACCCUAAAUUCAGAAUGGAAGCAAAGGUAAUACAAUGAAGUGAGAGGGUCAUGGAGAUGUACACACACACACACACACACACACACACACACACACACACACACACACACACACACACACACACACACACACACACACACACAC